GCUCCAAUGGGUCAGUGGUAGACCGGCCUGUUUAUUUAUGAAGUCACUAGUUAAUAGUUGCGGGCAGAAGUGGGUUCGAAUCCCGCUUGGAGCG